UUGAUGUAAUGAGCACAUGUUUUCUGGAACUGUGGUACCCUGGGAGCUGCCUCCUUCCCAGUCUUCUGGCAGCUCCGCUCAUGGGCUUGGAUGAACCUGACUAAAGGAUGGCGGCCUGAAAGUUGUCUCAGCCUUUUGCUUCUGUGUACCCAGUGCACCACAGCAGGAUAUGAGUCAGGAGAAAAGGUGAAGCAUGUCCUGAUUAGUUAGGUGCUCAGAAGCACCUAAUUUAGGUGCUGCUGAUCUACCUUAGAAAAGCAAGGGUAGAAUAUCACAUGGGAACAGCAUGGAUGGCUUGAUGCUAAUUUCUCCAGCUCGGACUCUUUCCUCUUCUUGCAUUGUUCUUUUUGCUGCAGAUGGGUGUUUGGCUGGAUUUCCAAGCAAGCCACAGCCCCAGGGUUGCUGCAGGACACGCCAGGCAUUCACACCUUGGAGAAGGAGCCAGCUGGCACCCGCUCGCCUCCAGCGCCUGCACACCUGGGUGGAACUGGGCAUAAGGUACGGCUGGCUGGCUGCUGAAACUGUGCCCAGAAAUAGAAGAAAUUCCUGUCCUCUGCCCUCCAGACUCUCACCUUGAGCUGUGCUGGAUGCCUGCUAGGUCCAGAGGAGGAUCCUGCUACAGAAAUGGCAGGGCUGCCAGAAUGCCAGGCAGAGGAGCACCACGUAGGAGCUACGUGAAAGAGAUGACAGAUUAUUUGCUCAGGUAUCACUCCCUUGGCCAAGAGACAUUUUACACCCAGGUAGGUGUGGGCUUCAUCACCUGCCCUGUGAGCACACCAGGAACCAGGUGACUCAUGACAUGAAGGAAAUGUUUGCAGUAAGAGUCAGGAACGUGGCAGCCCUUCUCUCAUGGAUGAAGCGUUUGGGGAUUUCAUGACUGGUACUUUUCAUAGUAAGGAAAACUUUGCAGGCAAUAUUUCCCACAGGUUUUUCCCCCUGUAGAAUUCAAGCAUGGUUAUCUGUGUUGAUGAACGUGUCAAUGAAGCACAAAACUGGGGUGCUUCAAAAGGGACAAGUGUCACCUCCCUGAGGUUUCGCAGUGCCACUUGUAGCCUGGGAUUUGGAAGAGGAGCUGCAGUUACCCCUUGGCUGUGGGAUACCUCCCCACAGCUGAUAUGGGACAGCAGUAAACUUGCGUGCCCCCUUCAGCUCCCUGUAUUCCCUGUCAGCAAUUUCCAUGCCAGGAGCCAAGAUAAGCCCACUUAUCCUGUGGCCAAGGUCAUUACCCAGGUUACAAGACCAGGUUGAAGGACCAUGGACUUUGAGCAGAGGUUACUCUGGGCCCUACCUCAAUGCAGGCAGCUUGUAGGUUUGGAAAGACCUCUAACAGGUAUUUUUUUAAUCUGUUUGACAGACCUUUCUUCUGUUGACUUCUCUAGUCUGAAAGGGAAAACAACCAGUGCUGAAGAGCCCCAUCAUCAGCCAAACCCUGUGUUAUAUUUUAGCAUGAAAGCCUCAUUCAGUUAAUAGCAGGAAGGGUGGGAGGCCCCAUAGUCAAGUGCAAAUGUAGAAACUCUGAGACACCUUCUUUUCCCCACCACUCACCAAAAAGAAAUGAAAUCUCUGGGGUUUUAUUCCAUCAUCAAAUGUUUCUCUGUGCACCAAAAUGAAGCAUAUCAUUUCUGUGCUUGGGUGAAAAGUGAAAAAAAGGGAAAGACUGGUUUCACAUCAAGGUGGUGCUUUUGGUUUUGUCUACCAAAUAGCUCAGAACUUCACAAGGGGCUCUUGCUUCUGCUGUCCUCUCUGCCCGAGGGGAUUUGAGCUGCUCAGAAAAAGACACAAAUUCUGCACAUUUUGGGACACAAAAGGAGUUCUUCCUAUUCUCACCUUGUAGAAAUAACCAUAUAGCAGCAAGUGCCAUUUGCUGUCAUCUCCAUAAGGAGUUAGUUAGCCUUAAUUAGCCCUUUUGGACUCCAGAUGAAAAGACCAGGAACUAGGAUGGACACUUUCUGUGCCAAAAAUGAUCAUUUUUGGGGAAGUUACUGUUUGGCCAAGAAGCACCAUUUCUCUAGGUCACUUCUGUACCUCUGUCUGGCAGGCACACUGAGAGCAGCAGAGCAGUGUGACCAGAGAAGGACAAGGAAAAUGGAACAUCUGCUUUCCUGUAUUGCACCUACUGCAGCUAGUGGUCCUAGCGAGACUGGGAAAGGUUGGAUCGUUUUCUCCUUAAAUGGAAGGGCUGUUUCUAGCAAAAGCCAAAAAUAGACAUUCACCACUUAAAAAAAAAAAAAGUCAGAACUUCAUGCCCAGCACUGCAGAGUUGAGUCUUCUCCCAUGGCUCUCCUCCUAGUCCUCCCAAGGCCGUGCAGCUGCCCUGUGGUGACACCUCGUGGCUCAAGUGACACCUUUGGUUUGUCUUAAGAGAUCACCUCUUCAUAGCACUACGACCCGUGCAAAGUAUUUUAGCUGUCAGUGUGACAGCUGGGAGGAGAGAUACGGAGCCAAAUUUGGAGGUAGGAAGUACAGGGGACAAGUCUAGACCAAUUUUCUAACGAUUUCUUUGGCAUCUCGUGAAUUAUAAGCGGCUGAGUUUCACCCCCACCCUCUCAGAUGCUCUUGACCAGCAGUGCUUGGCUGCUGCUGCCUUCUCCUGCUGCCCGGUGCAGGUGAGUCCAUGAACAGCAACCCAGCCCCACAGAGGGCAGGGAAUGGAGGCACUGGGGAGGUGCUGCCAGGAGUUCACUCAUAGGGAUGUUCUUUGGGAUGGCUGAGAUCAAACGUUUCACCAGAUUUCACUGUUACCAGCCUGGACACUAACAAGAAACUUAAUUUACCCCAUGUCUAGUUUCACAGUGAUGCAGCCAGACAGGAGUAUAACAUACAAGGAGUUUGUAUUAAUGAUUUCUCUGUUUGUGCAACAUGCAGAGAAAUGCCUGGCACCUGACAAGAAAAGCCAACCUCUCCUGUGGCUUUGCAGAGAGAAAUGGGAAUGCCUGGUAACCAUGUCUGACUCCUCUCUCCUCCAGGUAUUUCCAUUCAGUGGUAUCAACAAGCCCUGAACACACAGGGCUUGUUAAUACCACAGGUGGCCUCUGGCUCAUCUCCUUCACCUCUCCUCAGGAAGGCAGAGGUCUUGGUUCUCAGAAGAGGCAGAUGUUUAUUGUGCUCUGCUCUGCACCAGCACCAGACCACAUCAAAGAGAAGUUACCAACAGUGUUUGGUUUUCUCAUGAUGGUGUUUCGUAAUGAGGAGGAUUUAUGCUUUUCUCUUGAAAGCCCACAAAAGUAGCACAGCCAUCUUCACCUGCAUUUAGCUUCUCCAGUUAGGAGAAGUUAAUGGGUCAGGAUUACUUGUGUUGUGGUCUGCUGAUGAAGAGAUGCCUGCAUUGCCUGCUCCACUUGACUCUCAGGCCAGUGUCACCUGGUGCACAGCCAUCCCACCUGGCCAUGCCACCUUUCCAAAGCACUUACAAAGGAAACUGACCACACCCAGAACAGCAUCCUCCAGCCAGGGCUUUCAACUUCUUUUGCAAAUGUCUGCUACAAGAAGCUGAGGGGCAAAGACAGGUCAUCUGGCUGCUGUGGGCUCCUGCAGAGCCAACAGCAGAACUUGCUUCCUGAAUUGUAACUUGAUCUCAAGCAUCUUUUUUACUGGGGUUUGCAGCUGUUUUUACUGGGGAAUGGAAGAGAGGGGCAUCUUUCAAGCAAUGGUAGUGCCAAGUGCAUCCAAAGGUUAUUCUCCUUGUCCUGGAGAAGCCACCUUUGAUAUGGACAUCCCAAUGGCAUGGAGACAGAGGUCCACACUGGUCAGAAUGUAUUUCAUCAAAACCUUCCCUCUCCUGUCCAAGAGUUUCCUGAGCCCCCAGCCCCUUGCAGAAUAGGAUUUCUCUUUGCUUUCUCAUUGACAGGUGUUUAUUCUCCAGGCUUACAGGUUGAGGAGAAGUUUCCCCAGUCUGACUCCCUCUGUACUAGCUCCAUCUGGAGGCUCCAAUAAAACUUGCACUGUAAACCCA